AUGUACUACCAUAGUACUCCCAUACACUACAAAGCAGAAAGUACAGACACUGAUACAAUGGAUCAAUUAGCAGAUCAAGCAGGAAUCCGGUGGGAGCUGGAGGGGGAGGCGGCUGGUGAAGUUGCUCUCAGGGUGCUGGUUCUUGGAGACGGACUCGAGUUCGUCGGCACCUGGCGGGGUGAGACGGCGUGCUUCGAGUUCGGUGGCUUUUGGUGUCUCGUGGAGGCCGAGAAGACAAGGAGGAGGCGCUGCUCGGUGGAGAGGAAGGUCGUAGCUGGAGCUGGAUUUCGUGGAGAAGAGGUGACGAUCGUGGAGAGCACUUUUUUUUAG
rnacentral:rRNA from 1 species